CACAAUACCUCAUGAGGCGGGGUGGCCGUAUUUGGCAGUUUCGAGGUGAUAAGAAGACUGUUGAGAUGCGAUCAUCGCAUUGAAGUCAUAAGAAGGCAGGGAAAGGGGGAG
ensembl:ncRNA C25F6.11 ncRNA